UACGAAGGGGGCUAGCGUUGUUCGGAAUUACUGGGCGUAAAGCGCGCGCAGGCGGUUCUUCAAGUCAGAGGUGAAAGCCCAGAGCUCAACUCUGGAAUGGCCUUUGAGACUAGAGAACUUGGGUACGGGAGAGGUGAGUGGAAUUCCGAGUGUAGAGGUGAAAUUCGUAGAUAUUCGGAAGAACACCAGUGGCGAAGGCGGCUCACUGGCCCGGAACUGACGCUGAGGUGCGAAAGCGUGGGGAGCAAACAGG
rnacentral:rRNA from 1 species